ACUCCUACGGGAGGCAGCAGUGGGGAAUAUUGCACAAUGGGCGCAAGCCUGAUGCAGCCAUGCCGCGUGUGUGAAGAAGGCCUUCGGGUUGUAAAGCACUUUCAGUUGUGAGAGGUGGUGUCGUUAAUAGCGGCAUCAUUUGACGUUAGCAACAGAAGAAGCACCGGCUAACUCCGUGCCAGCAGCCGCGGUAAUACGGAGGGUGCGAGCGUUAAUCGGAAUUACUGGGCGUAAAGCGCAUGCAGGUGGUUUGUUAAGUCAGAUGUGAAAGCCCGGGGCUCAACCUCGGAAUUGCAUUUGAAACUGGCAGACUAGAGUACUGUAGAGGGGGGUAGAAUUUCAGGUGUAGCGGUGAAAUGCGUAGAGAUCUGAAGGAAUACCGGUGGCGAAGGCGGCCCCCUGGACAGAUACUGACACUCAGAUGCGAAAGCGUGGGGAGCAAACAGGAUUAGAUA
rnacentral:rRNA from 1 species